rnacentral:rRNA from 1 species
CCCUUAGAUGUUCUGGGUUGCACGCGCGCUACACUGACACUAUCAACGAGUGCUCCUGGUUUGAAAGGAUCGGGUAAUCUUUUGAAAUGGUGUCGUGAUGGGGAUAGAUCAUUGCAAUUAUUGAUCUUGAACGAGGAAUUCCUAGUAAAUGUGAGUCAUCAGCUCACGUUGAUUACGUCCCUGCCCUUUGUACACACCGCCCGUCGCUCCUACCGAUUGAGUGAACCGAUGAGUAGUCCGGAUUGCGAUCGACCUCGGUUAAUCGCGAGAAGUUCCGCAAAUCACUUCACUUAGAGGAAGGAGAAGUCGUAACA